rnacentral:rRNA from 1 species
CCUACGGGUGGCAGCAGUGAGGAAUCUUGGUCAAUGGGCGGAAGCCUGAACCAGCCAAGUCGCGUGAGGGAAUAAGGCCCUACGGGUCGUAAACCUCUUUUGCCGGGGAGCAAGGUCGGGGACGUGUCCCGGCCCGGAGAGUACCCGGAGAAAAAGCAUCGGCUACCUCCGUGCCAGCAGCCGCGGUAAUACGGGGGGUGCGAGCGUUAUCCGGAUUGUUCGGGUUUAAGGGGUGCGUAGGCGUGCUUUAAGGUCAGCGGUAAAAAGGCGGGGCCCAACCCCGUCCGGCCGUUGAAACUGGGGGCCUUGAGUGGGCGAGAAGAAGGCGGAAUGCGUGGUGUAGCAGUGAAAUGCAUAGAUAUCACGCAGAACCCCGGUUGCGAAGGCAGCCUUCCGGAGCCCUACUGACGCUGAGGCACGAAAGUGCGGGGAUCGAACAGGAUUAGAUACCCGAGUAGUC